UGAUAAGUUUUAUAUUUCCUUUGUCAGCC
rnacentral:piRNA from 1 species